GAUCAUGGUUCAGGACGAACGCUGGCGGCGUGCCUAAUACAUGCAAGUAGAACGCUGAAGGAGGAGCUUGCUCUUCUGGAUGAGUUGCGAACGGGUGAGUAACGCGUAGGUAACCUGCCUGGUAGCGGGGGAUAACUAUUGGAAACGAUAGCUAAUACCGCAUAAUAGCAGUUGUUGCAUGACAACUGUUUGAAAGGUGCAAUUGCAUCACUACCAGAUGG
rnacentral:rRNA from 1 species